GGGAAAGCUAGCCUCCUCUGCCCGCCCCUCCUGCUAGGCUAGGAAUUGGUGAGUUCUGGGUGGUGUGAACCCAGUGCCCCGGACCUCAAGACUCAGCUGCUGCUUUUUGUGACUGCAGAGAACAAGGAACCAGGAUUAACCUGAGAAACCGGUCCAUGAAAUGAUGUCACCACAUGCAGAGCGUGGCUCCCCCAUUCCGUUGAACUUUUCUGGAAACUAUCGUAGAUGCAUCCAGAGGUGUGUUUGCAUGGAUCUGGCUCACUGCAGGAGCAGGCCGAGGCCAAAGUGGCAGCCCCUCCAAGACAGUCCUCUUCCAGAAGUCCAGAGGAGGUGGAGAAUUAACAGGACUGCCUGAAGCAGCAGGUCUCAACUUUCCGGUCCCAACCCCUUUGGACUGCCCCUUCUUUCACGGGGGUCACCUAAGACCAUCAGAAAGCACAGAUCUUUACAUUACAAUUCAUUAACAGUAGCAAAAUUACAGUUAUGAAGUAGCAAUGAAAGUAAUCAUAUGCCUGGGAGGGGGUGGUCACCACAACAUGAGGAGUUGUACUGAAGGGUCUUAGCAUUAGGAAGGUUGGGAACCACUGCUCCAAAGCAAUCUGAAAUUGAAGCCGGGUGUAGAAAUGCAUGAUGGGAAACAGACAGGAAAGUUUGGAGUUCCUGCAGUGAGGAGAGAAGGGGUGCUUUGUGCUUCUGCUAGCCAGCUCUUUGGGGUGACUUAGACGAGAAUCCUUUUAUUAAGUCCCCCUCCACAAGCCUCCCUGCUCCAGAGCCCACUUUCCUUUUAGGGCUGGAGGUAUAGCUCAGCAGUAGAGGCCUUAUAUGGUACCUACAGAGCCCUGAGUUUGACCUCUCCUAGCAUGGCAAAAAUAAAUAAGUGAAUGAACACAUCAACCAUACACUCUUUUGUACAUGUCAAUACUAGUAUGAGUGAAAGGUAACUGCGCCCCCUAUAGGUAGGUCCUAGGCCUGGCAUACUUACCAGCCACCUGAGGACAUUUGCCCAUCAUCCUUGUCCCUCCCACCUAAAGCAAGCCUUCUCCUUCUCUAUAUUAAUUUUUUCACCUUCAUUCUGGUAAUUAGGGCAUCCAGCAUCCACUGAGUAGAAUAAUUCAGCGAAAAUAGGAAGUAGGGGAUAAUAGGGCUGAGUCAGAGACCUCUCAGCUUCCCAGACCUACAACACUUUUGUUUGAGGAAGGGGCAUUGAGACUGGGUUCUCUAUGUAGCCCUGGCUGUCCUGGAACUCUCUGUGUAGACUAGAUUGGCCUUGAACUCAGAGAUC